GGCAGGGUAGCUCAGCGGUAGAGCAGGGGACUCAUAAGCCCUUGGUCGUGAGUUCAAAUCUCACCCCUGCCACCA
rnacentral:tRNA from 1 species